UCUCUCUCUCCCGCGACUCCUCUCUCUCUCCCGUCGGCCUCUCCUCUCUCUCUCUUCGUAACUCCGGCCACCGGCCGCGGCUGCGGACGGGGCCGGUGUCAAAAGAACCGGCUCGACCUCGGCGUCACGACCCAGCCCAUCCCCGCCAUCGGCCGCCGCUCCAGCCGCCGGAAAAUGGCGAUUUUCGCCCGGAUGUCGCCGGAACUUCAACGCCGUCGAUCUCCCUCCUCCGGCCACCAUUUCCGUCGACCCAGGUAUGGAUCUUGAAC
rnacentral:lncRNA from 1 species